GACGAACGCUGGCGGCGUGCUUAACACAUGCAAGUCGAACGGAAAGGCCCUGCUUUUGUGGGGUUCUCGAGUGGCGAACGGGUGAGUAACACGUGAGUAACCUGCCCUUGACUUUGGGAUAACUUCAGGAAACUAGGGCUACUCCCGUAUAGGAGCUCCUGCUGCAUUGUGGGGGUUGGAAAGUUUCGGCGGUUGGGGAUGGACUCGCGGCUUAUCAGCUUGUUGGUGGGGUAGUGGCUUACCAAGGCUUUGACGGGUAGCCGGCCUGAGAGGGUGACCGGCCACAUUGGGACUGAGAUACGGCCCAGACUCCUACGGGAGGCAGCAGUGGGGAAUAUUGCACAAUGGGCGGAAGCCUGAUGCAGCAACGCCGCGUGCGGGAUGACGGCCUGCGGGUUGUAAACAGCUGUCGCCUGUGACGAAGCGGGAGUGACGGUAAUGGGUAAAGAAGCACCGGCUAACUACGUG
rnacentral:rRNA from 1 species